rnacentral:lncRNA from 1 species
CUUUAUCUACAUUGACAAAUAUCAUGGAAUGGACGGUAAGUGUGUAUCAUAGUUUAUAAUUUGCAUAAUUGUUAUAGUAGUGUUCAAUGUAUAUCUGAGGGAGAGCCUUUCUUAUUGGACAAAAAGGGGGAAGUGUUGUGGGUUGCCUGGAUUCUGUUUGUAUUCUGGUGUUAAUUCUGCUUCCUCAAGAGGAGCUACCCUUUGACAAGCAGUUGAUCACAUACUCAGGUGAUGUCAUGCGAAUCAUUUGCCCAUUCUUAACUGGUCAAAUAAAGGCUAGAGCCUAUGACUGGGCAGUGGAAGGAAAAGGAGGGACAAGAGGCCUUGAAGAUCUGGGGAAGGAAGGAGGAGAAAAAAAGAAGAGAGGACAGAGGAGUAAGAAGAGUAGGAGGGGGAGGAAAAGGAGGAAGAGAAAUAGAGCAGAACCAUGUAUAACAAGGAGAAACUGCAAGUAGCAAGGGUCUUAUAGCUGGGGAAAAAGUUAGCAUAGUGAUAGAGCUGUUCAAUCUAGUCUUAUAGUUUAUAAAUAUAAUAGCUGGAUUUUGUGUUUUUACACUGGUUUAUAGGGGUUAAUAAUUCUUGUAACAUAGAGUACUAGCAAAUUCUAGUCAUAAGCUUCACCUAGAUUCAUGUAUGUGUUUUCAUGUUUGAGUCUGAAGCAGGCGACUAGGAACAAAAUUUAUGUACCUCACAUGUACUUAUCAUAUUGUGGUCUUCAAGUGUUUCAGGGAAUUGCUUAAUAUGAUGGUUACAUGUGUAAGUUUUUUUACAGUAAACUGAGACUAUUCCUAACACUAACCUGUUAGGUCUCCAAGAAGAUAAUGGGGCCCUGCAAUGCAGAAUCCAGCUGGACUGUGGUAACACUGUCUUAGUCAGGGUUUCUAUUCCUGCACAAACAUCAUGACCAAGAAGCAGUUGGGGAGGAAAGGGUUUAUUCAACUUACAUUUCCACAUUGCUGUUCAUCACUGAAAGAAGUCAGGACUGGAACUCAAGCAGGUCAGGGAGCAGGAGCUGAUGCAGAGUCCAUGGAGGGAUAUUCUUUACUGGCUUGCUUCCCCUGGCUUGCUCAGCCUGCUCUCUUACAGAACCCAAGACUACCAGCCCAGAGAUGGUCCCACCCACAAGAAGCCUUUCCCCCUUGAUCACUAAUUGAGAAAAUGCCUUACAGUUGGAUCUCAUGAAGGCAUUUCCUCAACUGAAGCUUCUUUUUCUGUGAUAACUCCAGCUGUGUCAAGUUGACUCACAAAACCAGCUAGUACAAUUGACCCCUUGUCAACUUGACACACAAACACAUCACUAGUAAGCCUCAACCCUUACAUUCUUAUUCAUCCCCAAUGUCUAAAUAACUUUCAAUGUCCCACAGUCUUUAUAUAUUCUUAAAAUUUCAAUCUCUUUAAAAUAUCCAUCUCUUUUAAAAUCCAAAGUCUUUUUACAAUUAAAAGUCUUUUAACUGUGGGCUUCACUAAAAUAGUUUCUUCCUUCAAGACUGAAAAUAACAGGGCACAGUCACAAUCAAAAGCAAAAAUCAAUCUCCAACCAUCCAAUGUCUGGGAUCCUCCAAGGGCUUGGGUCACUUCUCCAGCCAUGCCCUUUGUAGCACACGUUGUCCUCUAGGCUCCAGAUGCCUGUACUCCACUGCUGCUGUUCUUGGUGGUCAUCUCAUGGUACUGGCAUCUCCAAAACACUGCAUGACCCCUUCAGUGGUGGGCCAACAAUUGCAACUGAGGCUGCACCUUCACCAAUGGCCUUCCAUGGCCUCUCACAGUGCCGAGCCUCAGCUGCUCUGCGUGACCCCUUCAUGACUUCAAAACCAGUACCAUAUGGGUCACCCUUACACCUUACCAAGUCCUGCUGCUGCAGGAGUACCACCUUGGCUAUUUCUGGAACACAGCCUCUUUGUGCUUUCAGAAAAACACUCCCAGAAGAUAUCACCUCAAUGAUGCUGGUCUCUUCUUAAUCACCACUAAUUUCUUAGCUCCAGCUAACCAGCAUCAAUAGUCCCAGUAAUGCAAAGUUUUUGCUUUAGUAGUUCUGGUAUCUUGUUAAUCACAGCUGAUUCUUCAGCCCCAGCUAACCAGAACCACAGAAUAAUCAAACUCCAAAAUAGCAAUGGCCCUGAAAAAGAGUCCUUAAUUUUCCCUCUGAAAUUUCACAAGCCAGGCCUCCAUCUUCUGCACAGUUCUCAACCUUAUCUUCCAAGCUCCUACACAUCAUCUGACAGAGCUCUUAACACAGAGUGGAUCUUCUAGUCCUGCCAAGCACACUGGUCAAAUCUGCUGAAAAGCCUUGGAGCCACUCACGAGGAAAAGAGUUUCAAGGAAACUCACGUCUUGGAGCUUUGGCAUUCUCAUUUACCCAUAUACUCAUACCCUAUUCCCGAGUUAGUCUGGUGUAUGGAACUACGAACUCUCUUUUAGUAUUAUUUUAUUAUAAAAGCUUUUUAAGAUUAAAUUCUGAGAUAGUUAAGUCUCCCCAGUGUUCCAAGCUCCCAGAAGCAGAGCUUAGAAUCCUGUAAGAAUGCAGUAAGGAAGUUAACCUAUUCAGUAACUAAUUAAGCAUUACAAAAGACGGAGCCAGUGGCUCAGAGCUAGUCUACAAGGUGUUUACUAAGGACAGUAACAAAUUGCAUGCAAACAAGGAAUACCACGAAAGAGCCAGGGAAUCCCACUGAGAUAGAAAUCUUCAGUGCAGGCUACAUUACAUAUUAGAAGCAAGUCAGUGAAUUCUUCUGACAAAUGGAGAUUCUCCAGUUACUUAAAAUUUACACUCAUAUAGGAAUUUAUCAAGGUCUAGGAGAUAGGGGGGUUGUGAUAUUGCAUUAUUCAUGAGGUCUGCCAAGAGCAGAACCCCCUGGUGCUAGCCUUCAUAAGGUUCAAAUGUAUAGCACUAGAGUGUGAAAUCCUUACCUGUCACUAAGCUGCCCCUAAGCAGGACUGCUUUAUCUUUACUGUAACCUUCUACCUGGUUCCUAUAAAUCCUUUUGAAGUCAUUCCUUUGUUUUGUAUCAGGUAAUUUCAAUGUACUUUGCCUGCUACCCUUUGUAUUUUCUGUACUAUAUAAGAUUGGUGUUCACUUUGUGACAAUACAUUCAGAUUCUACACAAUCUCACCUGUUAGUCUGUCUGUCACCUGCCAAUGCUUUGCCCACCUGCCCCAGAGACCCGUUCCACGCAGACAAAGGGACCCACAGGGUCUGUGACAUAGCCCAAUGUUCCAAAGUCCUUCCACAGUCCUCCCCAAAACAUGGUCAGGUUGUCACAGGAAUAACCCACUAUGCUGGUACCAAUUUGUCUUAGGGUUUCUAUUCCUGGACAAAACAUCAUAAUCAAGAAGCAAGUUGGGGAGGAAGGGCUUACACUUCCAUAUGGCUUACACUUCCAUAUGGCUUACACUUCCAUACGGCUUACACUUCCAUACUGUUCAUCACUAAGAAAUUCAGGACUGGAAAUCAAGCAGGUCAGGAAGCAGGAGCUGAUGCAGAGGCCAUGGAGGGAUGUUCUUUACUGGCUUGCUUCCCCUGGCUUGCAUAGCCUGCUCUCUUAUAGAACCCAAGACUACCAGCCCAGAGAUGGUCCCACCUACAAGGGGCCUUUCCCCCUUGAUCACUAAUUGAGAAAAUGCCUUACCAUUGGAUCUUAUGGAGGCAUUUCCUUAACUGAAGCUCCUUUCUGUGAUAACUCCAGCUGAGUCAAGUUGACACAAAACUAGCCAGUUAACUACCAUUGAGAAAAUAUUUUUGAAGAUUCUGGCGCCAAGUUCUGCACAAACUAUGGACAACUUUGGGUUGAAUACUGUGUUCUACCUAAGCAUGAUUGCUACUAAGCUGACAAACACCUCCCAAAAAUCAGCUUUGGACUAUGAACUGCUCAGGACAAUCAAAUUGCUGAUUCCAUAUGAGACUUAAAUACACAUUUUUCAGAAUUUUGAAUUCAAAAAUACUUAGUCUUAAGCCUUCCAAAUACAGCCAGGUGUGGUGGCGCACGCCUUUAAUCCCCGCACUCAGGAGGCAGAGGCAGGCAGAUUUCUGAGUUCGAGGCCAGCCGGGUCUACAAAGUGAGUUCCAGGACAGCCAGGGCUACACAGAGAAACUCUGUCUCGGAAAAACCAUAAAAAAAAAAAAAAAAAAAAGAAGACUUCCAAAUACAACCAAGCUCAGCAUGUUGGAAAGCUUAGCACAAAUAGCUUUAUUAAAUAUGUUUUACUGUGUUUGCAUUAAAACCAUGCCCUUUUUAUUUAGACAAAAAAAAAAUGGAGAAAUGUUGAAAGGAAUCUGAUCACACUGUUAAGCUCCAAUUCUGUUAUUUACAGGAAAAUCCCAUUUCUAGAUGUGCUGUGGCUCAGUCCUAGCAGAUGCCUUUAAUCCAAGAGCUAUCUCCUUGAAUAAUGUAUGCAAGGUUAAAAUAAAGUCAACCAUAGGUCAAGAGGCAGAGGAUGUGAAAGAACUCAGUGGGGAAACCCCCACUCAGCUCCCGAUUCGGCAUGCACCCAAGAAUCACGAAUAGAACACAACACCUUGGAGUUUCAUUAGGUCCCAUUUGUCAAUUCUCGAUCUUACAGCACAAGCCAUUGCUGUUCUGUUCAGGAAUUUUUCCCCUG